AACGAACGCUGGCGGCAUGCCUAACACAUGCAAGUCGAACGAGACCUUCGGGUCUAGUUGCGCACGGGUGCGUAACGCGUGGUAACCUGCCCUUAUUUUCGGAAUAACUCCCCGAAAGGGGUGCUAAUACCGGUUAAUGUCUUCUGACCAAAGAUUUAUCGCCUUUGUAUGGGCCCGCGUUGGAUUAGCUAGUUGGUAGGGUAAAAGCCUACCAAGGCGACGAUCCAUAGCUGGUCUGAGAGGAUGAUCAGCCACAAUGGGACUGAGACACGGCCCAGACUCGUACGGGAGGCAGCAGUGGGGAAUAUUGGAAAAUGGGCGAAAGCCUGAUACAGCAAUGACGGGUGAGUGAUGAAGGCGUUAGGGUUGUAAAGCUCUUUUACCCGGGAUGAUAAUGACAGUACCGGGAGAAUAAGCACCGGCUAACUACGUG
rnacentral:rRNA from 1 species